GGGCCGCGAGGCGUGGCCAGAGCGCGUCCCCGGAGGGUGGUAGUUCACCGCGCCCCUCGCACCUGAGACCUGGGGCGCCCCCGGCCUAAGUGAAAGCGCCAAUCACGGCUGCACUCUCCUGAACAGGGAACUGGCGGGGCGGGAAAAAUUGACUUGGUUCCGGGUUCACAAGCGGAUUUACUUUGAAAAAAUUGGAUUUAUGAGCCAGCAAUUCCCUUGGUGUCUAUCUCAGAGUAACCCUCGCACAAUGCAUAAAAAGGUUUGUGCAUGGAUACUCCUGUAUAGGCCCACAAACAGUACAAAAUUAUGAACAAUGUUUGCAGUUGCGGAAAAUUGAAAUCAGUGGGGGAAUGAAGAAAUAAAUCAUGAAACAUUCCUACUAUGGAAUAUUAUGCAAUCGUGACAAGAGAUGAGGUGAUUCCACGUGGCAAAAAAUCUCCCCAAGUGUGUAGUAAGUAAAAAAGGCAACGGAUGUUAUUGUUCUUCGGCCCUCCAGAAAGUCAACAGGCAAAAUACCUUGAGCAUCCCAAAAAGCUGCUGCUAUGACUUCGGCUCUUGACCAGUCCACUUUUGAUUUGACUGGACCACUUGCACCUCUUGCUCAUCUGGGUGCAACAGUUUUGCACCCAUCGCGUGAAAAGUUUGCUCAACUUCAGUAUUUCAGUGAGAAAUGUGGGUGUCCCUCUGCCCGGCCGCCCCAUCCGGGAAGAAGUGAGGAGCGCCUCUGCCCGGCCACCCAUCGUCUGGGAAGUGAGGAGCGCCUCUGCCCGGCCACCCACCGUCUGGGAAGUGAGGAGCGCCUCUGCCCGGCCGCCCCGUCGGGAAGAAGUGAGGAGCGCCUCUGCCCGGCCGCCCCGUCCGGGAAGAAGUGAGGAGCGCCUCUGCCCGGCCGCCCCAUCUGGGAGGUGAGGAGCGCCUCUGCCCGGCCACCCAUCGUCUGGGAGGUGAGGAGCGCCUCUGCCCGGCCACCCAUCGUCUGGGAGGUGAGGAGCGCCUCUGCCUGGCCACCCAUCGUCUGGAAAGUGAGGAGCGCCUCUGCCCGGCUGCCCCAUCUGGGAAGUGAGGAGUGCCUCUGCCCGGCCACCCAUCGUCUGGGAGGUGAGGAGCGCCUCUGCCCGGCCACCCAUUGUCUGGGAAGUGGGGAGCGCCUCUGCCCGACCACCCAUCGUCUGGGAAGUGAGGAGCGCCUCUGCCCGGCCACCUAUCGUCUGGGAAGAAGUGAGGAGCGUCUCUGCCUGGCCGCCCCGUCUGGGAAGUGAGGAGCCCCUCUGCCCGGCCGCCCCGUGUCUGGGUAGAAGUGAGGAGCUCCUCUGCCUGGCCGCUCCGUCUGGGAGGUCUACCACGGAGGCCAGAAGCAAUGUGGGGGCUGGACGUGGUGGCUCACGCCUGUGGUCCCGGCACUCUGGGGGGCGAGGCGGGUUGAUCACUUCGGGCUAGGAGUUCGAGACCAGUCUGGCCAACUUGGCGAAACAUGAAGAAUACAACAGACAAACCAACCAACCAACUCAAUGACAACAAAACAGGUCUACCCUGGAGUCAUACUCUAAUUUUUUCUAUUUUCCUCCCUUUCUGAUCCUUUAUCCCACUUUCUUUUUCUUCCUCUUCCUUCUCCCUCUUCUUUGUCAAAUAGAGGAUUGAGUUAUUAUCACUGAUCCAUAUAAAGUCCCUCUCAUUUAUUUUAACUCCCACCCCCAUUUCUAUUCCCCAACUUCCCAUGUGCAACCUUCCUAAUAUGUUUGAUAUGCAUCUUUUUGUUUGUAUGUAUUUUUAGAAAAUGUUUAUUGUUUUUGUAUGCAAAAAAAAUUAAUAAAAAGAAAAAAAAAAAAAAA